UACAGAGGUCUCGAGCGUUGUUCGGAUUCAUUGGGCGUAAAGGGCGCGUAGGCGGCGGGGUAAGUCUGGUGUGAAAUCUCGGAGCUCAACUCCGAAAUUGCACUGGAUACUGCUCUGCUAGAGGGCUGGAGAGGAGAUCGGAAUUCACGGUGUAGCAGUGAAAUGCAUAGAUAUCGUGAGGAAGACCAGUGGCGAAGGCGGAUCUCUGGACAGCUCCUGACGCUGAGGCGCGAAGGCUAGGGGAGCAAACGGG
rnacentral:rRNA from 1 species